CCGUGCCGUGUACAGUCAGAGGGAAAGGGUGCUGCUGCGGCUAACCAACCCAGGCGAAGCACGCAGCCAGCACCUCGCUGAGUGCUCUCAGCGGGAUCUGGUAGGAGCACCACUGAGCCACCUGGAGCAGUCCGUGGCGACAGGAAGAGCUUUGGCAUCGGGUCUGAGCACACUUAGACACUUAAGGAGAGAAAAAUGAAGAAAGGGAGGUAGUGAAGACCCACAGAGGAGACUGUUGCACAUUAGCAGCUACUAGCACAAGAAGCAGAGCCAGGACGGGUGCAGCGGCAGAGUCCCCAGGCAUGGUCUCUACAGGAACAAGUCCUCACGUCCAUUAAACCUCCUAUGAAAAAAGCCUGAGCCAGCAACCCAUGCCCAGCUGUGACCCACCCAUGCCAAGGGAAAUAGGCAAUGGUAUAGGAAGCACAUCUUAGAAUGCCAUGCCUGGUCCAGAGAGCUGCAGAAUUUGCAUUUUUCCCUCUUCCACACAUACCUCAAGUUCUGUCCUAGCCUGCAAGAGCCCGGCAAGACAAACAAGCUCACUGACACCUGCGGUGCUGCAGGCCUCUCCUCAGAAGAAAACUUGGAAUGCUCAGGAAAAAGCUUUCAGCUCUGUGAGCUCUCGACGACAGGAGAAGUCACAGAGCUUGGUAAUGCUUGGAAAAGCAAAAUGGAUUUGGAGGAUUUGGAGAGAAUCAUACCAUUAAGCAACUCUUUGAUUUUUUUUUUUCCUCUACCUUGUUCUUUCACUGGUCUCAAAGAAAAAUGAAAGUCACUGGAAGAUACAAUCUGUACCUGAUGAAGUCGAGAUGUGGCCCCGGCCAGCGCGCGCGCACACAUACACACACACACACACACACACAUACACACAA